rnacentral:rRNA from 1 species
AUACUUCUUCGGACAAUAUACAAGGUGCUGCAUGGUUGUCGUCAGCUCGUGCCGUGAGGUGGUCGGGUUAAGUCCCAUAACGAGCGCACCCCUAUCAUUAGUUGCCAUCAGGUCAAGCUGGGGACUCUAAUGAAACUGCCUACGCAAGUAGUGAGGAAGGUGGGGAUGACGUCAAAUCAGCACGGCCCUUACGUCCAGGGCUACACACGUGCUACAAUGGCCGGUACAAAGGGCAGCUACCUGGUGACAGGAUGCAAAUCUCCAAAGUCGGUCUCAGUUCGGAUCGGAGUCUGCAACCCGACUCCGUGAAGUUGGAUUCGCUAGUAAUCGCGCAUCAGCCAUGGCGCGGUGAAUACGUUCCCGGGCCUU